rnacentral:tRNA from 1 species
GUUUUCGUGGCGUAAAGGUAGCACACUCGGAGCGAAUCCGAGAGGUCCAGGUUCGAAUCCUGGCGAAGGCA